AACGAACGCUGGCGGCAUGCCUAACACAUGCAAGUCGAACGAGACCUUCGGGUCUAGUGGCGCACGGGUGCGUAACGCGUGGGAACCUGCCCUUAGGUUCGGAAUAACUCCCCGAAAGGGGUGCUAAUACCGGAUAAUGUCUUCGGACCAAAGAUUUAUCGUCUUUGGAUGGGCCCGCGUUGGAUUAGCUAGUUGGUAGGGUAAAAGCCUACCAAGGCGACGAUCCAUAGCUGGUCUGAGAGGAUGAUCAGCCGCACUGGGACUGAGACACGGCCCAGACUCCUACGGGAGGCAGCAGUGGGGAAUAUUGGACAAUGGGCGAAAGCCUGAUCCAGCAAUGCCGCGUGAGUGAUGAAGGCCUUAGGGUUGUAAAGCUCUUUUACCCGGGAUGAUAAUGACAGUACCGGGAGAAUAAGCUCCGGCUAACUCCGUG
rnacentral:rRNA from 1 species